rnacentral:rRNA from 1 species
AGUGAACGCUGGCGGCGUGCCUAAUACAUGCAAGUCGAACGGAGUCGCGCGCGGGUGAGUAAUAUAUAGCUAACUUGCCCAUGACUAAGGGACAACAGUUGGAAACGACUUCUAAUACCUUAUAGUAUUGGAUAGGGCUAUAUCGUAUCAGCAAGUUGGUAAGGUAACGGCUUACCAAGGCUAUGACGCGUAACGGGUAUGAGAUGAUGAUCAGUCACACUGGAACUGAUACACGGUCCAGACUCCUACUGGAGGCAUCAGUAGGGAAUAUUGCUAAAUGGGGGAAACCCUUAAGCAGCAACGCCGCGUGGAGGAUGACACUUUUCGGAGCGUACACUCCUUUUCUUGGGAAAGCGGUACCCAAGCAGUAAGCACCGGCUAACUCCGUGACAGCAGCCGCGGUAAUAC